rnacentral:misc_RNA from 1 species
AUUGCUCCCCCCUUCGUGAUCGGCCUUGGUUGAUUUAGAAUUGAGAGGAUCAAAUUUCACCACAACGAACGUGUCCUUUUUCACAGAUUUUCCAUCCAGACGUAAAUUUUCUGGCGGAUAAGAUAGUGAUUUCCAAACUGCGGAAUGCAGAAUCCAUGAGGAUGAAAAUCGUAGAAGGAGUAAUGAAGCAAGUUUUAGGAUAUUGGUUAGGAAA